GUUUUAAUAAUUUAAUAAAAAUAUUGAUUUUGUAAAUCAGAAUUGGUUAAAUAAACCUUAAAACA
rnacentral:tRNA from 1 species